ACUACAUAACAAAGGAAACUAUGUGCCAUUCAGGAGGGUCUGUGUAUUAAAUCAAGUGUAAGAAUGUUUAAACAUGUAUCCCGUGUUCACUUGGUUCCCAAACUGUGCAUUUUAGUUAGAUGUUAUUAAGUUAUAUCAUUUUUAUUUGUACUACA